GACGAACGCUGGCGGCGUGCUUAACACAUGCAAGUCGAGCGGAAAGGCCACUUCGGUGGUACUCGCGCGGCUAACGGGUGAGUAACACGUGAGUAAUCUGCCCUUGGCUUUGUGAUAGCCACCGGAAACGGAGAUUAAUACCUGAUACGACCACUCCAGUCAUCUGGUGGUGGUGGAAAGAUUUUCGGCCAGGGAUGUGCUCGCGGCCUAUCAGCUUGAUGGUGGGGUAAUGGCUCACCAUGGCUUCGACGGGUAGCCGGCCUGAGAGGGUGACCGGUCACACUGGGACUGAGACACGGCCCAGACUCCUACGGGAGGCAGCAGUGGGGAAUAUUGGACAAUGGGCGGAAGCCUGAUCCAGCAACGCCGCGUGAGGGAUGACGGCCUUCGGGUUGUAAACCUCUUUCGGUAGGGACGAAGCGCAAGUGACGGUACCUAGUAAAGAAGCACCGGCCAACUACGUG
rnacentral:rRNA from 1 species